UGCAGUCGAGCGGAAGGCCCUUCGGGGUACUCGAGCGGCGAACGGGUGAGUAACACGUGAGCAACCUGCCCCAGGCUUUGGGAUAACCCCGGGAAACCGGGGCUAAUACCGGAUAUGACCUUGCACCGCAUGGUGUUUGGUGGAAAGUUUUUCGGCUUGGGAUGGGCUCGCGGCCUAUCAGCUUGUUGGUGGGGUGAUGGCCUACCAAGGCGACGACGGGUAGCCGGCCUGAGAGGGCGACCGGCCACACUGGGACUGAGACACGGCCCAGACUCCUACGGGAGGCAGCAGUGGGGAAUAUUGCACAAUGGGCGGAAGCCUGAUGCAGCGACGCCGCGUGAGGGAUGACGGCCUUCGGGUUGUAAACCUCUUUCAGCAGGGACGAAGCGUAAGUGACGGUACCUGCAGAAGAAGCGCCGGCCAACUACGUGCCAGCAGCCGCGGUAAGACGUAGGGCGCGAGCGUUGUCCGGAUUUAUUGGGCGUAAAGAGCUCGUAGGCGGCUUGUCGCGUCGACCGUGAAAACCUGGGGCUCAACCCCAGGCCUGCGGUCGAUACGGGCAGGCUAGAGUUCGGUAGGGGAGACUGGAAUUCCUGGUGUAGCGGUGAAAUGCGCAGAUAUCAGGAGGAACACCGGUGGCGAAGGCGGGUCUCUGGGCCGAUACUGACGCUGAGGAGCGAAAGCGUGGGGAGCGAACAGGAUUAGAUACCCUGGUAGUCCACGCUGUAAACGUUGGGCGCUAGGUGUGGGGGGCCUCUCCGGUUCCCUGUGCCGCA
rnacentral:rRNA from 1 species